CUGACUUUUUUGGGGAGUAGAUGGGUGGGGAGCAUUAACAAUGUUUCUCACUCCCUACCCCUCCACUCCCCAAAAAAGUCAG
ensembl:miRNA